rnacentral:rRNA from 1 species
UCCCUGAAAGAUGAUCAGGUUGAUAGGUCUGAGGUGGAAGUGUGGCGACACAUGGAGCUGACAGAUACUAAUCGAUCGAGGACUUAACCCA